rnacentral:rRNA from 1 species
AACGAACGCUGGCGGCAUGCCUAACACAUGCAAGUCGAACGAUACCUGCUGGUCCUUUUACCCACUGGUUCGUAAGCCGAGGGAACCUUCACGUAGGUUGGGACUAACUUCGCGCAAGGGGCGCCAUUACGAGACGAAUUCUACUAACCAAUGAUUUAUCGGCUUAGGAUUGGGACGCGUUGGAUAAGCUAUUUGGUCAGGUAAAAGUCAACCAAGGUUAUGUUCCAUAGCUGGUCUGAGAGGAUGUUCAGACACACUGGGAGUGAGACACGCCCGAGACUCUUACGGGAGGAAGAAGUGGGGAAUAUUGGACAAUGGGCGAAAGCAUGAUGCAGCAAUGUCGCGUGAGUGAUGAAGGAGUUAGGGUUGUAAAGCUCUUUUAACCGGGAUGAUAAUGACAGUAACGGGAGAAUAAGCGCCGGCUAACUACGUG